AAAGAGACAGAUGUGCACAGAGCAUGUCCCGGGUUCACCCUGGACCAGAAAACCGUGUUUUUCUGUGGGCCCCUGAACCAGAGCGUGUCGCCUCCUCCUCUUACCAGUUUUUUCCUGUGAAACCUGGUGGGAGGGUUGAGAGGGAACUCAUGCGCCCACUGGUUUGGCCAGUCACUCACUCACAUCAGAUAAAGUCAGGUCGCCUUGGCACCCAUCUCAGAACCAGGUCACGUUCAAAUAAACAACUGGCCGAGGCUCAGAAAUAACUGAAAAGCAGUUUCCGUCUUUGCUGAAAUCUCUCAAAAACACUCCAGGAGCUUCCAUUCUUCAAGCACAUGGAUGCUUUUCUAACACCCUCCACCCCGGCGGCUCUCCGCCCGGACACCGGGCCCCAACCAGAUGGUGAGGUCGGAGAGUCUGGGCGGCCGGGCGCGGUGUUUGUUAAAACUCCCCCGUGAUCCCAGCGCGCAGCCAAGUGUGAGAACCUCCCCACGUUCAUUCCAAGCCCACCCUGCUUUCUCUACCCCACCCCACCCCCACGUCGCCGCUACCCUCAUUAAUCUCGUUGUAAAAACAAGAAUCAGAAACCAGCUGGCCCAGCCUGAGCUUUCGUGAUGGGGAGAAGCCAGGGCAGGAGUUACGGGUCUGCCUUUAAUCUGGGGGCACACACACGGGUCCGCCAACACUCGUAAAUGCCAGGCACCCCGUGACGCCCAGAAAGGCAAAAGUAUUGAAAGAAAAGGGAUGAGAGAGGACUAUGGUUUGAGGCGAGGGAGCGAGGAAAAGGCAAUUACAAUAAAGCUGGAUACAGACCGUAAAAAUGAUGGCCAGGACCAAGCGCUAACCGCUGCUGGCUUCUGCUCGCAGUCAGUAGCGUGGAUCAGCCUGCUCAGCCCUCAUCACAAACCUGGGGUGUUGGUACUGAUGUAACUUCCACUUGACAGAUGACACAACCAAAGCCAGAGAGGCUACUCAUUGGCUCAAGGCCACACAGCAGGACUCUCAUUGGCUCUGCAUUAGUCACGUGACUGCCCCCUGACCUAUCAUGAUGCUCCAGGCCAUGGACUACUCUGAUUGGCCAGCUUGGAUGACAGGAUCAACCUUGGGGGGGGGUGCAUCAAGGAACAGGGGGCCCCCAGGCGAAGAAGAGCCUUCUGAGAGGGUAGUGGAUCCCGUCUUCCAGACCCACUCGUGCUGGUCCAGCCAGGGCCAGCCCGUGCGGUCAGGAAGAUGAGGAAGAUGGACAAAGACAAACCACAUGUUUACAUACGGUUACAAAAUAAACACAAGCAGACCCCUGAUGGGUCCCAGAAAAUCCUUGGAACUAUUGGAGAACGAAAAAGAGAAGGGAAUGGGACCUUUGAAGAUGAAGCAGAAUGAAUUGGCUAUGAAACUGAGCACUAUGAAAUUAAAAGUAAUUUAAUGAAGCUCACAGACUCCUGGGGGGUUUCUACUUCGCAUCCGGGGAAACUGUGCAGAUGUGCCCCAAACGGAGGGUGUGGAGGAAGACAGAGAGCGGGACUUCCCCCUGUGGGGUCAGGGGCCUGGGAGCUCAGCUGUGGGGUAGGGUCAGGAGUCCCGGGAGGUGGGGCGGCUCCCGUCUCCAUGGAAACAGAUCCACCACCCUCCCAGCAUCCUGCCAGGAAGGCAGGGAGAGCCACCGCAGGCACGGCCCGGGGGGGCAGCACCUGACUUUGGAUCCAGGGGUCCAGACUCCCGAGUCACCUUGGAAAUCAUGUCUCCUGAACUGCAGCUUCUUCGGGUUGUAGAUGAAGUGCGUCCCAGAGACAGCAUUGUGGCCCUGCUGGGCAUGCGUCAUCGGUUGGAAGAUGAUUUCCAGCAGCGUGGGAGCAAUUUCAAAACCUUGAAUAAUCCCGUGUUCACCUUUACCGUUACCUUCUAUCUUUGUCCACCUGCCAUUGUGAGAUGGGUUUUAUUUAAAAUAAAUUCGCUCUUAUGAAACGCA